CCUACGGGAGGCUGCAGUGGGGAAUAUUGGGCAAUGGGCGCAAGCCUGACCCAGCAACGCCGCGUGAAGGAAGAAGGCUUUCGGGUUGUAAACUUCUUUUAAGGGGGAAGAGCAGAAGACGGUACCCCUUGAAUAAGCCACGGCUAACUACGUGCCAGCAGCCGCGGUAAUACGUAGGUGGCAAGCGUUGUCCGGAUUUACUGGGUGUAAAGGGCGUGCAGCCGGAGAGACAAGUCAGAUGUGAAAUCCACGGGCUCAACCCGUGAACUGCAUUUGAAACUGUUUCCCUUGAGUGUCGGAGAGGUAAUCGGAAUUCCUUGUGUAGCGGUGAAAUGCGUAGAUAUAAGGAGGAACACCAGUGGCGAAGGCGGCCUGCUGGGCUUUUACUGACGCUGAGGCUCGAAAGUGUGGGGAGCAAACAGGAUUAGAUACCCGUGUAGUC
rnacentral:rRNA from 1 species